rnacentral:rRNA from 1 species
GACGAACGCUGGCGGCGUGCUUAACACAUGCAAGUCGAACGGAAAGGCCCUGCUUUUGUGGGGUGCUCGAGUGGCGAACGGGUGAGUAACACGUGAGUAACCUGCCCUUGACUUUGGGAUAACUUCAGGAAACUGGGGCUAAUACCGGAUAGGAGCUCCUGCUGCAUGGUGGGGGUUGGAAAGUUUCGGCGGUGGGGGAUGGACUCGCGGCUUAUCAGCUUGUUGGUGGGGUAGUGGCUUACCAAGGCUUUGACGGGUAGCCGGCAUGAGAGGGUGACCGGCCACAUGGGGACUGAGAUACGGCGCAGAGUCCUACGGGAGGCAGCAGUGGGGAAUAUUGUACAAUGGGCGGAAGCCUGAUGCAGCAACGCCGCGGGCGGGAUGACGGCCUUCGGGGUGUAAACCGCUUUCGCCUGUGACGAAGCGUGAGUGACGGUAAUGGGUAAAGAAGCACCGGCUAACUACGUG